rnacentral:rRNA from 1 species
GAUGAACGCUCGCGGCGUGCCUAAUACAUGCAAGUCGAGCGAACAGACGAGGAGCUUGCUCCUCUGACGUUAGCGGCGGACGGGUGAGUAACACGUGGAUAACCUACCUAUAAGACUGGGAUAACUUCGGGAAACCGGAGCUAAUACCGGAUAAUAUAUUGAACCGCAUGGUUCAAUAGUGAAAGACGGUUUUGCUGUCACUUAUAGAUGGAUCCGCGCCGCAUUAGCUAGUUGGUAAGGUAACGGCUUACCAAGGCGACGAUGCGUAGCCGACCUGAGAGGGUGAUCGGCCACACUGGAACUGAGACACGGUCCAGACUCCUACGGGAGGCAGCAGUAGGGAAUCUUCCGCAAUGGGCGAAAGCCUGACGGAGCAACGCCGCGUGAGUGAUGAAGGUCUUCGGAUCGUAAAACUCUGUUAUUAGGGAAGAACAAAUGUGUAAGUAACUAUGCACGUCUUGACGGUACCUAAUCAGAAAGCCACGGCUAACUACGUG